GUGUGCAAAAACCGAUUUAACCAAUAAACCGAACCGAAAAAAACACUAUUGGUUUAUUGAUAUUGGGUUAUUGGGCUAACGGUUUUUAAACGGUUUUGCAAAAUUUUUUAUUGGGUUAUUGGUUCGGUUUCCGGUUUUAUAAUUUUUGUUAAUGGUUAAACCGAUAACCCAAUAAGACUAUACUAAAUUUACUAGUCUUAUUGUUAAUGGUUAAACGAUUGUUACUUUCACACUUUUUGUUAAUGGUUAAACGAUUGUUACUUUCACACUUUU
rnacentral:lncRNA from 1 species